GUCAGGAUGGCCGAGUGGUCUAAGGCGCCAGACUCAAGGUAAACACCUUUGCCUGCGGGCGUUCUGGUCUCCGGAUGGAGGCGUGGGUUCGAAUCCCACUUCUGACA
rnacentral:tRNA from 1 species